GCAGAUGUGGUGGAACGGCAGACACGCUAUCUUGAGGGGGUAGUGUCCACAGGGCGUGCGGGUUCAAAUCCCGCCAUCUGCA
rfam:Clostridium cylindrosporum DSM 605 CLCY_2c, whole genome shotgun sequence.